rnacentral:rRNA from 1 species
GACGAACGCUGGCGGCGUGCUUAACACAUGCAAGUCGAACGGAAAGGCCCUGCUUUUGUGGGGUGCUCGAGUGGCGAACGGGUGCGUAACACGUGAGUAACCUGCCCUUGACUUUGGGAUAACUUCAGGAAACUGGGGCUAAUACCGUAUAGGAGCUCCUGCUGCAUGGAGGGGGUUGGAAAGUUUCGGCGGUUGGGGAUGGACUCGCGGCUGUUCAGCUUGUUGGUGGGGUAGUGGCUUACCAAGGCUUUGACGGGUAGCCGGCCUGAGAGGGUGACCGGCCACAUUGGGACUGAGAUACGGCCCAGACUCCUACGGGAGGCAGCAGUGGGGAAUAUUGCACAAUGGGCGGAAGCCUGAUGCAGCAACGCCGCGUGCGGGAUGACGGCCUUCGGGUUGUAAACCGCUUUCGCCUGUGACGAAGCGUGAGUGACGGUAAUGGGUAAAGAAGCACCGGCUAACUACGUG